rnacentral:lncRNA from 10 species
CAGCCCACUGAAAUCUGCAGCCACACUCACUACUCCUAUAAAACUGCUGGUUUUGAAAAUCAUCAAUGAGACUCCAAUGGUGCAAAUAGAAUCAAAAGUUCCUGAUAUAGAAUAAGCAAAUGAUGGAAGAAGCCAAGUUUCCUGAGUGGCCACUAGGAAAACUCUGUCUUCUUUAUCAAAACUAUGAGGUGAGCAACACCAAGUCUUCAAUUUUCCUAUGCCAUUGGGCUUUAAGAUUUUUUAAUAUAAGCAGCUAGCAUUAAUUACCCUGACUAAUAAAUAGUAC